ACUAAAUUUGAAACAGUGAGCGACGUGCAAUAAAAAAUUUAGACAACGAUUAAGAUCAUCUCCAAUGGUUCGUAACUUUGCAUUUUAACAAUGAUUAAAAUUAAAAUUUUGGAACAUGACACAUAACUGUUUUUAU
rnacentral:sRNA from 1 species